AAACCAACAGGGAUUGCCUUAGUAGCGGCGAGUGAAGCGGCAAAAGCUCAAAUUUGAAAUCUGGCACCUUCGGUGUCCGAGUUGUAAUUUGAAGAUUGUAACCUUGGGGUUGGCUCUUGUCUAUGUUUCUUGGAACAGGACGUCACAGAGGGUGAGAAUCCCGUGCGAUGAGAUGCCCAAUCCUAUGUAAGGUGCUUUCGAAGAGUCGAGUUGUUUGGGAAUGCAGCUCUAAGUGGGUGGUAAAUUCCAUCUAAAGCUAAAUAUUGGCGAGAGACCGAUAGCGAACAAGUACAGUGAUGGAAAGAUGAAAAGAACUUUGAAAAGAGAGUGAAAAAGUACGUGAAAUUGUUGAAAGGGAAGGGUUUGAGAUCAGACUCGAUAUUUUGUGAGCCUUGCCUUCGUGGCGGGGUGACCCGCAGCUUAUCGGGCCAGCAUCGGUUUGGGCGGUAGGAUAAUGGCGUAGGAAUGUGACUUUGCUUCGGUGAAGUGUUAUAGCCUGCGUUGAUGCUGCC
rnacentral:rRNA from 1 species